AUCUUGCACUAGACAAAAUUCUUGGUUUCUAGGUUCUUUCCCACCAGAAACAGAAUCUGAGUGACUUACUGGAAGAAAAUUUCGCAAGGCUAUUUGAUCACUCAUGGAAUCUCUGGAUUCAGCUCUGGACCAGUCAGCCUUGAUGAUAAGGUAGAAGAAGACAACAGAAGCAAGACUAAAAAGAGCCAAGAACCCACUCUUGUGGGCUCCGUGGAAGCUCUCAGAGAGAAGGGGGCAGUCCACGGCCACCCACUGACUUGAAUACCACAACCACGUAUUACAGUUAAAGAACUUGAUAUGUAUGGAAAUCCUGAAAAUUCUCAUUCCAGACUGCAACAAACAUUGACAUUUCCUAUGAAUAAAU
rnacentral:lncRNA from 1 species